rnacentral:tRNA from 1 species
GAGAUGUUAGUAAAAUAAUUACAUCGCCUUGUCAAGACGAAAUAGCUAGUUAAACCCCAGCACACCUCA